UGGGGAAUUUUGGACAAUGGGCGAAAGCCUGAUCCAGCCAUGCCGCGUGCGGGAAGAAGGCCUUCGGGUUGUAAACCGCUUUAGUCCGGGAAAAAGGGAUGGUGUGUUAAUACCAUGCUGUCUUGAUGGUACCGGAAGAAUAAGCACCGGCUAACUACGUGCCAGCAGCCGCGGUAAUACGUAGGGUGCGAGCGUUAAUCGGAAUUACUGGGCGUAAAGCGUGCGCAGGCGGUCCGUUAAGACAGUUGUGAAAGCCCCGGGCUUAACCUGGGAACUGCGAUUGUGACUGGCGGGCUAGAGUGUGGCAGAGGGGGGUGGAAUUCCACGUGUAGCAGUGAAAUGCGUAGAGAUGUGGAGGAACACCGAUGGCGAAGGCAGCCCCCUGGGUCAACACUGACGCUCAUGCACGAAAGCGUGGGGAGCAAACAGGAUUAGAUACCCUGGUAGUCCACGCCCUAAACGAUGUCGACUGGUUGUUGGGGGGGUAACCUCUUAGUAACGAAGCUAACGCGUGAAGUUCUCA
rnacentral:rRNA from 1 species